GAGUUUGAUCCUGGCUCAGAACGAACGUUAGCGGCGCGCCUAAUACAUGCAAGUCGUGCGAGAAAGGGCUUCGGCCCCAGUAAAGCGGCGCACGGGUGAGUAACACGUAGGUAAUCUCCCCUCGAGUGGUGGAUAACUCUCCGAAAGGAGAGCUAAUACAGCAUGAGACCACGACCUCGCUGAGGUUGCGGCCAAAGCAGGCCACUACAUGUAAGCUUGCGCUUGAGGAUGAGCCUGCGGCCCAUCAGCUAGUUGGUAGGGUAAUGGCCUACCAAGGCUUAGACGGGUAGCUGGUCUGAGAGGAUGAACAGCCACACUGGAACUGAGACACGGUCCAGACUCCUACGGGAGCAGCAGUAGGGAAUCUUGCGCAAUGGACGAAAGUCUGACGCAGCGACGCCGCGUGAGCGAUGAAGGCCUUCGGGUCGUAAAGCUCUGGUGGGGAGGGAAGAAGUAAGGGCAAGCUAAUAUCUUGUCCGAUGACGGUACCUCC
rnacentral:rRNA from 1 species